rnacentral:lncRNA from 1 species
AUGGCAGGGCUUCGGUCCAAAAUCCUAAGGGCCUGUCCUGUGAUUCACUUACAGGGGUCUGCCAAAGCCUCCAAUGAGCAUCUCUAUCUGCCACUGCCACUUCAAACACCACUGGAUCUGAUGGAUCAGAUGGCCCAAGUAGCAGAGAAACUUCCCUGGCAGCCUGGACCUGUGGCAGUGCCUUCUGUAGGAGUAAUUAGAUUUCAGAGUGGCACGUGGAGGCACUCAAUUGCCAUAACCAAGCUGGAAAUGGUUACCAUGAUUUUUUACCUCCAAGACUCAAAGAGGUACACUAAGUAUCAACUAGAUGCCUAGGAAUUGUCCUGUGUAGAAGGUGGCCCUGAAUUUUAGUGAGAUUUCCCACCUUCUAACAUGCCAGUAUUCUACCAAUGAGUCUAGAGAAGUCACUACUUCUUGCUGAUAGGAAACUAUGAUAUAGGGUUGGAGAGUUUAUAUACCCAUAAGGCAGGACAGCGAAGGUGUAUUGCUGGCCUUGCCGGCUGAAAACAAACUUGUUUCUGGUGGUCUUUACUAAGGGGUAUGGAGAAAAAAGCAUUUGCCAGAUCAAUAGCUGCAUACCAGGUAUGAGGAUAUGUGUUAACUUGCUCAAGCAAUAGAACUGCCUCUGGUUGGAGUAAUCACCCAGUUAAGCUUAUGAUAAUCCAUUGUCUUUCUCCAAAAUUCGUAUUUUCUGCAAAGGCCAAACAGGUGAGUUGAAUGGGGAUGGGGUGGAAAUUAUUUCUGCAUACUUUAAGACCUUGAUGGUGGCACUAAUUUCUGGCAUCCUUCCAGGAAUGCAAUAUUGAUUUUGGUUUCUCAUUUUCCUAGGUAGAGGCAGUUCUAGUGGCUUCCACUUGAACUUUCCCACUCUAAUAGCCCUCACUCAAGUCAGAGAACCAAUAUGGUUGGUUCUCUGUGUCAGUUGCUGAGUGUAUCUAUUCCAAUUAUGCAUUCCCGAACUGCAUAGUAAAAUAACCACAGGAUGGUUUCAGGGAUCCCUGGAGCCACUGUGAGACAGACUGGAGGUAAAACUCCAUUGAUUACCUGACCUCCAUAAGCUCCUACUCCAG